AUUUAAGAUUGGUUUGUCAAAACCGCCGUUCACCUCUUCUACAAAACUGAGCUCAUCAUAUCUUGGGUUCAAUAGAGGGAAUGGUUUUGGCGUCUGAGUAUGUCUGAAGGCCAGGAUGAAGAGGAAGAUGAUGCUGAAAGACUCGAGAAUUCUAAAUUUAACAUCGAAUUAGUGAUUCACCAGACGGGUAUAUACAUAGAUCUAAAGUAACACUUUCUGUUUUAUAUAAUUAUUUGAUUUCAAUUCUCUAACGAUUAUAUUUGAGUUUGUUUUGUAGAACUCUUUCGAAUAGAGGGCCUGGACGACGAGCUCACUCUAGGAAGAAAGAGUAUUUAAAAAAAACUCAAGAGAUGCCACGGCUGCUCAGGUAAUCUCUUCAUAUUUACAAAAUAUAUUUUCUUUCUGAUUUCUUUGGGAUGAGUGGAACAAGCAGUGUGUUUUGACUAUCUAAAUUUACCAAAUUUUUGAUCGCCUUGCUAAAAAAAACUGUUGGUUUUGACGAUCCUAUGUUGGUUGGACUAUAUGGUUCAAAAUUUAUCAGAUUAGGGUUUGGAUUCAUGAUUUACCAGCGAUAUUUGUAGAUCUACAUCAAUUAGGGUUUGAUCUUCAUGAAUAUAAUAUGUUCCUCUACGGUUUCCUUGUCGCGGUUAUAGGUCAUAUAUAUAGUUCUGACAAUUUUCUCACUGAGUUAUUCUGUGCAAAAUCAUUCACAUAUAAUGUAUAUACGUCUUGGUGGCCUGUCUUAAUUCUCCCAAUAUAGAUUAACUCGACUUAAUGUCAGAACUGUUGUGUCACUAGACCUAUAUAUAUAGUGACUUGGUGCAUUGGUAAAUGUCUGGGUAGCUUGAUGGAACACAAGCGGGGAGUUCCUCCUACAUGAAUUCCUUAUUUGGAGAUGAAAUUUCUAACUUGCGUGUUUUUCAGAUCUACGGAGGGAAACUGAGAAGAUUCGUUCAUCACCAUUUUGAUCAGCAGCGUGGCUUCCUCAUCUCCCCUUCCCAAGAUAUUUCGGGAUCAAGUCGGACUCCAGCUAUUGGCUCGAAUUAUCUUUUGAGGUUUCAGUCAGUCUCAGUCUCAUUGUCAAGGCAGCUUUUGCACAUGUCCGUAUGAGAGCAUGCAUUUUUAGCGCUCGUCAACUUUGUCCAUAUCCUGCAAAGCUGUCAACAACAAGAAAUAGAAAAGUCAGGCAAAGUAUCAAGCAUGAGGAUUCUCGUAAGUUUAUCAAACUUUAUAACUGCUAAAGGUACUCAGACGAAGGAAGAGCAACAUUGUGUUCAUCAUUAGAGGGGAAGAAACUACCUUUUCAAAGGGAAGAAAGGAUUUCUCUUCAGCUCCACUGGUUGUUUGUUCCCUCUUCUUGGUUCUUUGAAGGUUCAAAUCCUUUGGUAUUUACUAUCAUGUUCGGGGCUGAAUCACGUCCUGUUUCUUUUCUUUUUCCAACCGAAUCAGUGAUUUACCAGGCAUAUAUCCAAUUCAAGUUAUUUGCAUUGGCUUCUUGUACAGUUUAAUCAUUGAUCAACGACUUUGCAAACAGGAUGCUUAAUUGUGUGAAUAACACUUAAUUAUACAGAUUAACUUUAUCUUGUACAGAUCUGUAGUUUGUAAUAUGAUAGAGAUACAUCAAUGAAGUCAGAU
rnacentral:lncRNA from 1 species